CAGUCGCCGCGGUAAUACGUAGGGUGCAAGCGUUAAUCGGAAUUACUGGGCGUAAAGCGUGCGCAGGCGGUUUGUUAAGACAGAUGUGAAAUCCCCGGGCUCAACCUGGAACUGCAUUUGUGACUGGCAAGCUAGAGUAUGGCAGAGGGGGGUGGAAUUCCGCGUGUAGCAGUGAAAUGCGUAGAUAUGCGGAGGAACACCGAUGGCGAAGGCAGCCCCCUGGGCCAAUACUGACGCUCAUGCACGAAAGCGUGGGGAGCAAACAGGAUUAGAUACCCCAGUAGUCCCUGUCUCUUAUACA
rnacentral:rRNA from 1 species